CCCGGUGGCCGUAGCGGAGGUGCCACACCCGUUCCCAUUCCGAACACGGAAGUUAAGCCCUCCUGCGCCGAUGAUACUGCCCCCCGGAGGGGCGGGAAAGUAGGCCGCUGCCGGGC
rnacentral:rRNA from 1 species